UACGUAGGGUGCAAGCGUUGUCCGGAAUUAUUGGGCGUAAAGAGCUCGUAGGCGGUUUGUCGCGUCGAAUGUGAAAUCCCGGGGCUCAACCCCGGGCCUGCAUUCGAUACGGGCAGACUAGAGUUCGGUAGGGGAGUCUGGAAUUCCUGGUGUAGCGGUGAAAUGCGCAGAUAUCAGGAGGAACACCGGUGGCGAAGGCGGGACUCUGGGCCGAUACUGACGCUGAGGAGCGAAAGCGUGGGGAGCAAGCAGG
rnacentral:rRNA from 1 species